rnacentral:rRNA from 1 species
ACAUGCAAGUCGAACGGAAGUCGUUAUAAAAAGGAUUGAAGAUUUAUCUGAUUGAGAUUUUAUAACAAUGGCUUUAGUGGCGGACUGGUGAGUAACGCGUGAGCAACCUGCCUACUAGAGGGGAAUAACAGUGAGAAAUCAUUGCUAAUACCGCAUAUGCCAUGAACAUCACAUGAUGAAAGUGGGAAAAGAGUAAUCUGCUAGUAGAUGGGCUCGCGUCUGAUUAGAUAGUUGGUGGGGUAACGGCCUACCAAGUCGACGAUCAGUAGCCGGACUGAGAGGUUGAACGGCCACAUUGGGACUGAGAUACGGCCCAGACUCCUACGGGAGGCAGCAGUCGGGAAUAUUGCGCAAUGGAGGAAACUCUGACGCAGUGACGCCGCGUAUAGGAAGAAGGUUUUCGGAUUGUAAACUAUUGUCGUUAGGGAAGAUACAAGACAGUACCUAAGGAGGAAGCUCCGGCUAACUACGUGCCAGCAGCCGCGGUAAUACGUAGGGAGCAAGCGUUAUCCGGAUUUAUUGGGUGUAAAGGGUGCGUAGACGGGAAAGCAAGUUAGUUGUGAAAUCCCUCGGCUUAACUGAGGAACUGCAACUAAAACUGUUUUUCUUGAGUGUUGGAGAGGAAAGUGGAAUUCCUAGUGUAGCGGUGAAAUGCGUAGAUAUUAGGAGGAACACCGGUGGCGAAGGCGACUUUCUGGACAAUAACUGACGUUGAGGCACGAAAGUGUGGGGAGCAAACAGGAUUAGAUACCCUGGUAGUCCACACCGUAAACGAUGGAUACUAGGUGUAGG